UGUGGUGGCUGAAUGAUCGAAAGCAGGCCACAAAACUAUACAAAGAGAAGGCCAACCCUAAUAAAGAUACUUGGGUUACAUUCAAGCUCAUUAAAGUUAACCAUACAUCAGGUAUAGCUUUCUUUGAAAAUAAGAGCAAAUUCCUGUUAAUUAUUAUAAAUUCCGAUUGAAUAUUUACAGUAACUGUCUAUGUACAUGCAUCAGUGCAACAAUACCUUUUUCAUAUUUGAUCAUACGUAAUGUAAAUAUAAUUAUUUGUAGACAAGAAAUCAGAGUUUGAUCAUUUUGAUUUAACCACCUCUGUUACGGAUGCUGAAGACGAGGAUGAGACACCCAAUCCAAAACGCAAAAGUAAGAAGCGGGUGUUCUCCGAUUACGUUGAUUACUUUGAUUCUGAUGCUGCUACUCCAAAAAAGAAGAAGCCACCGAAGCUGCCAGUGCCACCCCCAAAACUGAGGUUCUCUCCUAGGAAGAGUGUCUCGUAGAACUCACUCAGCUUUUCAAGUACGCUUUAAGGUAGGUUAUUGGAAUUAAAGUUAAAAUGUUUUCUUAAUGUCCUUAGAAGAUAACCAUCAUCAAUCAUAUUUAAAGACAAGUUAACACCAUUUUUUAUGUUAUUGAAGCCCAACCAUCAAAGGUGAGAACCUCCCCAAGGAAAAAAACAGUGCCGAGUUCUGGCUUCAACAUUCCUGAAGAGUCUCCCAGGCAGAAGACCAUGUCCAGACCAGAAGAGAAGAGAGAGAGAUAUCCUCUUUCAGAAGGAAGUAAGUACAGUUAAAAUGAACUACAGAUGUGGGCAUUUUUUAUUUUUAAGAUUAUAAAUUGCAUGUAGCACAUUAGCAACACUACAGUAAUGCUAAUGUGACAAUAGUGUAAGAAAAUCCUAAACCAAUUCCUUUUAAAUGCUGAUAUAAAAUGUAAAUUAUUUCAGAGUUUCAGAAGCGGGUAUUGGGCCUCCUGAUAGGGAUGAGGGAUGAAUUGAGGCGUUUGGGUACGUCCACAGAACUGGUGGACUCCCAAUUCCACAUC